UGGGGAAUAUUGCACAAUGGGCGCAAGCCUGAUGCAGCCAUGCCGCGUGUAUGAAGAAGGCCUUCGGGUUGUAAAGUACUUUCAGCGGGGAGGAAGGUGUUGAGGUUAAUAACCUCAGCAAUUGACGUUACCCGCAGAAGAAGCACCGGCUAACUCCGUGCCAGCAGCCGCGGUAAUAAGGAGGGUGCAAGCGUUAAUCGGAAUUACUGGGCGUAAAGCGCACGCAGGCGGUCUGUCAAGUCGGAUGUGAAAUCCCCGGGCUCAACCUGGGAACUGCAUUCGAAACUGGCAGGCUAGAGUCUUGUAGAGGGGGGUAGAAUUCCAGUUGUAGCGGUGAAAUGCGUAGAGAUCUGGAGGAAUACCGGUGGCGAAGGCGG
rnacentral:rRNA from 1 species